UACGGAAGGUCCGGGCGUUGUCCGGAAUUAUUGGGCGUAAAGAGCUCGUAGGUGGCUUGUCGCGUCUGCCGUGAAAACCCGAGGCUCAACCUCGGGCGUGCGGUGGGUACGGGCAGGCUAGAGCGUGGUAGGGGAGACUGGAACUCCUGGUGUAGCGGUGAAAUGCGCAGAUAUCAGGAAGAACACCGAUGGCGAAGGCAGGUCUCUGGGCCAUUACUGACACUGAGGAGCGAAAGCAUGGGUAGCGAACA
rnacentral:rRNA from 1 species